rnacentral:tRNA from 1 species
UCCCUGGUGGUUUAGUGGUUAGGCCUCUGCACCUCCAUGCAGUGUGCCUGGGUUUGAUCCCUAGUCAGGGAA